GUGGCCCAGGAGGGGCGGGCUGGCCCCCGCCUGCUUCAGAUGGGCAGACCAGGCCGGAGGGAGGCGUCGGGCUGUAGCGGAGAGUGGCGCUGAACGCCCACAGGCCUUCUGCCCCCAGAGCCCACCCCUCGGCUGUCCUCCCUCCUCUCCAGACCCCCUGCUCAGGCGCCAGGCACUGCUCUGGCUCUGUCCCUGUGACCCCACACUCCAUCCUGCAGGCAGUGUCCCACUGGGCACUAACACUUGUGCUGAAGACAAACCCCCAUAAGGGACAUGACCGUUCUUUUCUUGAUGACCCAGCCUCCACCCAGAGUCAUCCCGCAGGCCUCUCUUGGCCUCACUGGGUGUGGAGGAGGGUUGCUUGUGGUGGAUGCUUUGGGGGACACUGAGGAGCAGGAAGAGAGCCCCACCUCCAGGGCCUCGUGUCUGGUGGGGGUGGGGAAGGAGUCCUGAACACGAGGCCAUCAGUGUAGCCCUCAGCUGGGGGCUGGUGUGCCAAAGGAGGCACCAAUACUCCUGUGUGGAAAUCCAGGUGGCCUUCCUGGAGGAGCUGGUCUUGUCUAGACCUGAACCUUUGACACUUGACAGGUAUCUGCAGCAGUAGAGGUCAGAGGGGAGGGGCCUGGGACACUGCCAUUAGGGUGGAUGGGGCCGCCUGCACACUCGGCCCACUGCCUAUCUGAGGGUCCUGUGCCUGAGGGACACCACUCAGACACCCAGCAGUGCCUGGCCUCACCGUCGAGCAGCGGAGCCCAAGCUCUCUGGGUAGCUUCAGCAGCUUGGGCAGGUGAGGUGCCUGGGCUUCUUGCUCCUGGACGGGGUCUCGGCUUGCUCCGCCGUCCUGGUAGACCACUGAGCUGCCGAGGGGCCCUCUCCCUGUUGGGAUGUCCUACUGCCACUGCUUCAAUGUGCACAGGCCGAGGGCUCCACCAAGGCCCAGGGCUGAGCAGAGACCCCCGCACACUAGCCCUGGGGGCGCUGGGCUGCUGUCCUCAGGACUGGGGGAGGGCGCCUGGCCAGGUGGGCAUCAGGAGGGCUGUGUGGGGCCCAGGCUUCGACUCGGCUCCCUGGAGCACAGCAGGAGGGAGCCAGCUCGGGACCAGGAGGGGCCGUGUGCGCCAGCAUGGCGUGGGGGCUGGCCCUCUGCAGGCGCCCGAGCACCAGGACACUCUGCUUUCCUUGGGAGAAGGGAGGAGGGAGACAGGGAGUUGGGGAUUAAGAAGCAGAUGCAGGGCCUGGGGCAGGGGCAGAGGGCAGGAGUGGAGAGCAGGGGCAUCGGGAGGUGGCAGCCAGGGGCAGGGCAGCCGGGACAAGGACCCCCAUCCGCAGGAACAGGCAAACAGAGCUUAGUCCGCCCUGCAUUCCUUCAGUCACCUGGCCCCAUCAUCUCAGCCACCAGAUCGGAGCCCCCAGCUCUAAAGGGUCUGCCUGGGUCUCCAGAGGCGCAGGUGGGCAUGGCCAGAGAGCACAGCCAGACGCCCACCAGCCCACCCUGCCACUCAGCCUCCCCCCAAAAGCCCACCCUCCCCACUCCCCCAAAGCGCCACUCCUGCUUGGUAUCCUGGCAGAGGGAGGCAGGCCAGCUGGCUCUGACGUGGUCACCUGCACC
rnacentral:lncRNA from 1 species